rfam:TPA: Bos taurus chromosome 12, whole genome shotgun sequence.
UCCCUGGUGGCUCAGUGGUAAAGCCUCUGCCUGCCAAUGCAGGAGACGUGGGUUCAAUCCCUGGUCUGGGAA